AGGGAAAGAGUUUUUUGUUUUUUUUUUUUUUUUUUCCCCUUAAAGCGAGUGCUGGCGUGAAACAACGCUCGCUGAAGGCGUUUCGUUUCUCCAGGGAACGAGAGGAGCAGUGAAUGACUCUAGUUUCCCCUCUAGGGAAUGGCACCUAGCAGGUACGGACUGCUUUUAUCUGGACCACUGAGAGCUGGCAAAGCGAGAGGCUCAUUCCGCCUUUCGGGACAGACGCAGCCUCUCCUGUUUGCAGGGAGCUGCCGUGCCUUACCCCGUAUCCCCUCCCCGCUCCGGCUCUGCCCGCACACCGCCCUGCAUUCCCUGCCCGGCUUCAGCCCCUCCAGCGAUACGGCUGAUUGAGGGAGGGGAGGCGGCGGCUGGGGUUUCAUUCGACGCCCACCAGGGGCUGAGCGAGCCUCCUUCAGUGCGCAAACUCGGGGCACCAGAUAAAAGCUGGGCUGGCAGCUCUUACCCUGCCUCGAUGGAGCCGCCACAAUCGGGUGACUGGAGAAGCAGUUAGCAGCAGCGCCAUAGACUAGCCUCCCCCCACACCUUGGGCAGAGAGAGUUUGGGGCUCUAAACAGCUACUGCUGCGGCAGGAGGGAGCCGAGGGCGCUUGGCUGGGGCUGCUCGCUCGGGUUCUGCCUGUUGUUGCGCGAAAUGGCGGCUGGCGUCUUGGGUGUAGCUGCUCUUGGGGAAGCUUUCCAUUCCGCCCCCUCUCUGCGCAAGGCUUUACCCACGGCAAGGGAAAGUCUCCGGCGGGCGCCUGCCUGCUCCGCUCGGGCGUGGAGGCGGUGCUGCGCGGCCUCCGCGGCUGCCGCCUUUACUAACGCAGAUCCCGCUUCGGUCUUCUCUCUCGGCUUCCCCCUUCUCAUGUAUAAGAGCACUUUCUUACGCGCAGGCUGGCUUCCUCGGGCUAAUUUACUGGAAGAUUCAGUUUAAAUGAUCUCCAUUAAAACAGCUGAGGCCAAUGUACAGACUGUAUGCAGAGUUGUUCUUCUGAGUGGGAUGUUGUAUUUUAAAUGUUACUUUGCUGGGGGGUACACGGGAGAAGAAAGUGGAAAAGUGAAAGCUGUUGAUGGCUUUAUGUGAGCAGCAUUUCUGUAUGAAGAAGUGGAUCAGUAUUCUUUUAUAAAAUAACUAGCAAAUGAAGACCAGUUUUUCAGUCAAUGUGGAGAUGCAAGCAGUGCAAAUACCCUCAGGAGCUCAAAGUUGAAGAUAUUCCACUGUCUGUAGGAGGAAAAUGGGGAAAGCACUGUUUUCAGAGACUUGCUGGGAGUUGGCAUGUGCUAGAGUUGGGAAGCUGCUGAACUGCAGGCUGCAGCAUCCUAGAAUUACACCGUGAAGGUGAUCAUCCUGUCACGUGGAAAGCAAGUAUCUGCAUUUUUUUUUGUGAACUUCUAAAACUAAUCAGUUGCACAAGUUCAGAAGCUAGGUGUUUGACGAAAGGGGUUCCUUAUCUCCACUGAAACUUCUUAACAUGACUUCUAACUCUACCUCUUCCCUACCAAAUGACCUGGCUCCGUCUUUCUGGGUGCUACACGGAGGCUCCCCUUUUCCAGUCUGCUCUAUGCCUCAGUAAGGAGCACAGCAAGAGGAGCAGGUGGCAGCAGGUCCUUCCCCCAUGCUAUCUACUUGAUCAGCUCUUCACUUAGAGCACCUGGAGCCUGUGUAAUGCCUGCUUCCUGCUCUGUAGCCCCAUGUGGAGCUGUAGAAGGAAGGAAUGGAUGGGGAAGAUGCCCACCUUUCAAGUGAACAAAACAGCGGAAAGCUGCAACAGGAGCUUCACGUGCAUCCCUACUGGCAGGCAGUGCUGAAAGCUGCCAGAAAGUGCUGCGAAAGUCCCGGCUUCCUACUGCUCCUUCUGUGGUCAAGGAGAGCAGCAGGCCCUGCCAAGGGGACUCAGGGCUCUCCAUCCCUGUGAGCCUUCUGCCUGUUGCGGGAAGGCUGCGAGGACACGAGCUGUAUUCCUGUCGCAGCCCUGCUGCGGAGAGAGAGGAGUGCACCGCCAGGAGGGGAGCGGGCAGCCCCCGGCACGUCCCUGAGGGUAUUCUCAGACCUGCUGCUCUUCCAUAAAAAUACUUGGGUUACGAUGGCAGAGGCUGCACUGCCUUCUUUUAGAUUCAACGCAAUAAACAGCUAAGAAAAAAGAACCGGGAAGUGAAGAAAAGGAGAUGCUGAAGAGGAAGUGUGCGUUUUUAAUUAUUCAGUUCCUAAUUCUCUGAUCAGAAUCUCUUUGUAGUUAAGUUAAACUAUUUACAAUGGCAUUCUUUGUAACAUUAAUGUAAUGCAGUGUAUUUUCACAUGAGUAGGUGUGGCAAGGUGCUGAAUUAAAGAUAUAGUGAGUUUAAAAAAAAUGCAUUUCCUAGUGAAUGCCACAAGGCCUAUCAGGACUUCCAUAACUAUUAACAGGUACUUUUUCCAAAAUACACUUUCUUGGCAUGAUUUAGGUACUUCACAAUGCUAUAGCUAUCUAUAAUGGUGCCCUCUGGUGACUCCAAAAAGAUUUACACUAGAAUAAAACAAAAAACAAGGUAGAAGUUGGCCUGUUACGUGGAAGUAUACUGGCCCGUAUUCAUUAAAGAUUCAGGAUCAGACUAAAGCUGCUAGGGCUCAGCUGGACAAUACAUAUGAGGAACAUACACACAGAGGUCUAUGAUUAACUCCAAGUGGUGUAGGAGCAGAGCUGUAAUGAGUAAGACAGUCUCUCAUGCUACCAUACAACCAAUUUCCUAUGCAUUUGUGAUCUUGACUUCUGACACUACCUUUUUUUUUUCUGCCAAGACAAAAGAAAAAAGAUGCAGCAACAAUUUCUUACUGAGUCUGUUUGGCUAGUGGAGGGUAGUGUAAAAUACAUUAGCUGAUGGUAUGAAAUUUCAGAAGCGAGUUAGCUGUGCCAGAGAAUCUCUUGUAUGUUCUGCUCUCUGUCACUUGCACACAGCCCCUGGAAAGCUGACCUCUUCGAUGCAGUGCUUUAUCUCCUGGAUAUUGCUUUUCAUGUGCAUGAGCUAUCUGCAGCAUCUAGUGAUGGCUGUACACUUACUGCCUGUUGUUUGCCAUGCUGGCAUGCAGGACCUCCCUCAUUGCACUGAGUC